rnacentral:rRNA from 1 species
UACGUAGGGACCGAGCGUUGUCCGGAAUCAUUGGGCGUAAAGAGCUCGUAGGCGGCCCGCUAAGUCGAACGUGAAAUCCCCGAGCUCAACUCGGGAACUGCGUCCGAUACUGGCGGGCUUGAAUCCGGGAGAGGGAUGCGGAAUUCCAGGUGUAGCGGUGAAAUGCGUAGAUAUCUGGAGGAACACCGGUGGCGAAGGCGACAUCCUGGACCGGUAUUGACGCUGAGGCGCGAAAGCCAGGGGAGCAAACGGG